rnacentral:rRNA from 1 species
UGGGGAAUUUUGGACAAUGGGGGAAACCCUGAUCCAGCCAUCCCGCGUGUGCGAUGAAGGCCUUCGGGUUGUAAAGCACUUUUGGCAGGAAAGAAACGGCAUGGGUUAAUACCCCGUGAAACUGACGGUACCUGCAGAAUAAGCACCGGCUAACUACGUGCCAGCAGCCGCGGUAAUACGUAGGGUGCAAGCGUUAAUCGGAAUUACUGGGCGUAAAGCGUGCGCAGGCGGUUCGGAAAGAAAGAUGUGAAAUCCCAGAGCUCAACUUUGGAACUGCAUUUUUAACUACCGGGCUAGAGUGUGUCAGAGGGAGGUGGAAUUCCGCGUGUAGCAGUGAAAUGCGUAGAUAUGCGGAGGAACACCGAUGGCGAAGGCAGCCUCCUGGGAUAACACUGACGCUCAUGCACGAAAGCGUGGGGAGCAAACAGG